CCCUUAGAUGUCCUGGGCCGCACGCGCGCUACACUGACAUGUUCAACAAGCCUCCUAGUUCGACAGGAUUUGGGAAAUCUUUGAACGCAUGUCGUGAUAGGGAUAGAUCAUUGCGAUUAUUGAUCUUGAACGAGGAAUUCCUAGUAAACGCGAGUCAUCAGCUCGCAUUGAUUACGUCCCUGCCCUUUGUACACACCGCCCGUCGCACCUACCGAUUGAAUGUUUCGGUGAAGAUUCCGGAUAGGACUUUUUUGAUUUAUUUCAAUUCUGUCUUAAAAGCUAUCUAAACCUCAACAUUUAGAGGAAGGUGAAGUCGUAACA
rnacentral:rRNA from 1 species